UGCAGUCGAGCGGGGGAGGUAGCUUGCUACCGGACCUAGCGGCGGACGGGUGAGUAAUGCUUAGGAAUCUGCCUAUUAGUGGGGGACAACAUCUCGAAAGGGAUGCUAAUACCGCAUACGUCCUACGGGAGAAAGCAGGGGAUCUUCGGACCUUGCGCUAAUAGAUGAGCCUAAGUCGGAUUAGCUAGUUGGUGGGGUAAAGGCCUACCAAGGCGACGAUCUGUAGCGGGUCUGAGAGGAUGAUCCGCCACACUGGGACUGAGACACGGCCCAGACUCCUACGGGAGGCAGCAGUGGGGAAUAUUGGACAAUGGGGGGAACCCUGAUCCAGCCAUGCCGCGUGUGUGAAGAAGGCCUUAUGGUUGUAAAGCACUUUAAGCGAGGAGGAGGCUACUUUAGUUAAUACCUAGGGAUAGUGGACGUUACUCGCAGAAUAAGCACCGGCUAACUCUGUGCCAGCA
rnacentral:rRNA from 1 species